rnacentral:rRNA from 1 species
UGGGGAAUAUUGGACAAUGGGCGAAAGCCUGAUCCAGCCAUGCCGCGUGUGUGAAGAAGGUCUUCGGAUUGUAAAGCACUUUAAGUUGGGAGGAAGGGCAGUAAGCGAAUACCUUGCUGUUUUGACGUUACCGACAGAAUAAGCACCGGCUAACUCUGUGCCAGCAGCCGCGGUAAUACAGAGGGUGCAAGCGUUAAUCGGAAUUACUGGGCGUAAAGCGCGCGUAGGUGGUUCGUUAAGUUGAAUGUGAAAGCCCCGGGCUCAACCUGGGAACUGCAUCAAAAACUGGCGAGCUAGAGUAGAGCAGAGGGUGGUGGAAUUGCCUGUGUAGCGGUGAAAUGCGUAGAUAUAGGAAGGAACACCAGUGGCGAAGGCGACCACCUGGGCUCAUACUGACACUGAGGUGCGAAAGCGUGGGGAGCAAACAGG